GACGAACGCUGGCGGCGUGCUUAACACAUGCAAGUCGAACGGAAAGGCCUCUUUCGGGGGGUACUCGAGUGGCGAACGGGUGAGUAACACGUGAGUAACCUGCCCUUGACUUUGGGAUAACUUCAGGAAACUGGGGCUAAUACCGGAUAGGAGCUCCUGCUGCAUGGUGGGGGUUGGAAAGUUUCGGCGGUUGGGGAUGGACUCGCGGCUUAUCAGCUUGUUGGUGGGGUAGUGGCUUACCAAGGCUUUGACGGGUAGCCGGCCUGAGAGUGUGACCGGCCACAGUGGGACUGGGAUACGGCCCAGACUCCUACGGGAGGCAGCAGUGGGGAAUAUUGCACAAUGGGUGGAAGCCUGAUGCAGCAACGCCGUGUGCGGGAUGACGGCCUUCGGGUUGUAAACCGCUUUCGCUCAUGACGAAGCUUUGUGUGACGGUAGUGGGUAAAGAAGCACCGGCUAACUACGUG
rnacentral:rRNA from 1 species